UGGCUCUCGCAUCGAUGAAGAACGCAGCGAAAUGCGAUAAGUAAUGUGAAUUGCAGAAUUCAGUGAAUCAUCGAAUCUUUGAACGCACCUUGCGCUCCCUGGUAUUCCGGGGAGCACGCCUGUUCGAGUGUCAUGAAACUCUCAAUCUGAAUGGUUUAACAACUGUUCUAGAUUGGAUUUGAACUCUGCCGUGCCUACGCUCGGCUGGUUCUAAAUGCAUUAGCUGAUCCUUGAAACUUUUGGUUCUACUCGGCGUGAUAAUUAUCUGACGUUGAGGACAUCUUUCUAGCGAGAGGUGGCCAGAAUUCUCUAUGGAUUGCUUUCGAAUCGUCUUUCAAACAGACAAUCUAUUUCAAUAUCUGACCUCGAAUCAGGCGGGACUACCCGCUGA
rnacentral:misc_RNA from 1 species